rnacentral:lncRNA from 1 species
CUUGUAGAAACAAAGUUUGCCAAAUGCUAAAAAGCAUGUCACUAUUGAUUCACAAAAUAAAAUAUAUCUCAUUAAAUCUAAACAAAUAAAAAAUCACUAAUCCAAAAUAUUAAUGUCACAACUUAAGAAAUAAACUUAAUGUCUCGACUAGUAUAAACAAUCCUAUCAAAAAUGUCGUAAAAUAAUCAUUGAGUUCUUCACCAUAUUGAAACUUUCCACAUGCGAUUUUUUUUAAUAUUAGAUUAUAUGACCUGAAAUAAUAAAUAAAUAUGUCAAAAAUUAAUUGUAAUGUAUAAAAACAACACAAAUAGGGAGAAUAAUCUAACAAUUACAAGAAAGAAGCAUUCAGUAACAAGUGUUCAUCCAUUUGGUCUCACAAUUAUGCUAUCUUAAUCCCAUGAAAAAGGCUGAGUAUGUAAAACAAUGUCAGGGGAAACAACAAAUAAGUGUAGAGUUAAUCAAAGGAAGAAUAAACAACAAAGUAACAACCAUUGUGUUUCUUUAUGUGCUGGAACAACCUACUAUUUUUGCUUAAACCUACUAACAAUAACAUAUCACUGUAAUUUCACAAGUGUGGUGUGGAAAUGGCAGCGUGUACGCAUAUCUUACUCGUAUUUUAUGAAGGUAGAGAGAUUAUUUUUGAUAGAUCCUCGUCUCAAGUCAAGCAUUUCAAAACAAGUAUAAAAAUAUUUGUUGGCGGAACUACCGUGUUUGACAACACCAAUGAUUUUUUUUCAUGUUAGCCCAACCUUGUCAAUGGAUUUUGUUAAUUAGAAAUCAAGAAAACUCCUAUUUUGUGUAGAGUACUAGAAUAGUGCGAGGAUAUUGAAAAACCAUUUAUCAAGUGUAAGUGGUAACUCUGUGAAAAAAGUAACAUUUUAUUUGAAUAAUAGACUGUUAGACAGUGGGCAAUUAUACCAGAUGACUCAUGUCAAUAUGUAUACUAGUUUUGCAGUUCAAAAAAUCCUUAAACCUACUAAUUUCUCCAUUUUCUUUAAGAAAAUAAAUAAACAAAUAUUAUUGUUUGUCCACCUAGAUAAAACUAUCACCACAACACAAAUAGGUAAUAUUUGUUGUCAAACUAGAUAUUUAGAUAUCACCAUAACGCAUCCUUUCAGACUUAAUUAUGCACUUAUGAUCCAAAGAAUGUAACUAAACAGAGCAAAAAAAAUAUGAAUGGAACAAGAAAUCAAACUUCAUACCUAUUGCACUUCAUUAAGGUAUUUCGAGCAUGAUUCAAUGAAGCAAGGCAAAUAGUAAAGUUCAUUAUGUCUGCACAAAAAGAUUACAUUCAGCAGAGCUACCUAACCUUGUAAUAAAAUUAACUAUACUUUUGUCUUUGAGUACAGUUGAUACUAGGAGGAGACCUGAAAAAUAUGGAUUUAGCUUUCAACGUAUCUAAAUGAUCUUGAAAUAGGGUGGCAAAAUCAUCAGUGUACAAUUAUUCUUGUAUGUGAAAAAUAUGCAGCAACUUCCUUUAGUAUAUUUACGAUAAAACACAUAUAUCAUCAAACAUCAAAAAGGAAAUAGGCAAAUCUCAUCACGUUUCUCAAUAAAGAAUUAGUGCUCUUGAAUGGACGAUAUUAUCAUAAAAUCGUUAGAUUCAAACUGGUAAAUAAGCACAUUCACCAUAAAUUAAAGGAGUUGAGUUAUUAAUCAGUUACAUGUGAUCAAUCAAGGAAUAAAAGAUUUAGCACAAAAUAGCAGCGAAAAAAGGACAUUCGAAGCCAAGAGAUACAAAAUGCAUUACAAGGAGAAUAAAAAAAUUGAGAAAUUAAGAUUAAUCCACAACUUGACAACAUUUAGGAAAAAAAUAUCACUAGAGAAACAAAGUAUGUGUGAUUGUGUUCCAUAUCUGUUUAUAUGCUUCACUUGAGGGUUCAAAAUCAUACUAGUGUUACAAAGGCAUGUUUCUGGAGAAUCUUGAAGCAUGGAUAUGCUUUUGAACAUUUUUGUAAAAGAUCGUCUAGCUGCAGAGCCUUUACUCUAAGCUAAUGGAAAGAGUUUUAUUAAUAAAUUAAACAACUGCAUACAAUUGGAACGAGAAAUAGGAAAAUUAAGAAUACACACAAGACAUUCAAGUUACUAGAUCUGAACAGAUCAGCUGUCCACAUAAUCAUAAGGAUGCACAAGACUUAAAUACAUAAGCACACGAACCUUGUUUCUCGUAUCAUAUAUGUAUCCUUCCAAGUUAUUCU